rnacentral:rRNA from 1 species
AGUGUAGCGGUGAAAUGCGUAGAUAUUAGGAAGAACACCAGUGGCGAAGGCGGCUUUCUGGACUGAAACUGACGCUGAGGCUCGAAAGCGUGGGGAGCAAACAGGAUUAGAUACCCUGGUAGUCCACGCCGUAAACGAUGAGUGCUAGGUGUCGGGGAGGAAUCCUCGGUGCCGCAGCUAACGCAAUAAGCACUCCACCUGGGGAGUACGACCGCAAGGUUGAAACUCAAAGGAAUUGACGGGGGCCCGCACAAGCGGUGGAGCAUGUGGUUUAAUUCGAAGCAACGCGAAGAACCUUACCAAGGCUUGACAUCCCGAUGACCGUCCUAGAGAUAGGACUUCUCUUCGGAGCAUCGGUGACAGGUGGUGCAUGGUUGUCGUCAGCUCGUGUCGUGAGAUGUUGGGUUAAGUCCCGCAACGAGCGCAACCCUUAUCUUCAGUAGCCAUCAUUCAGUUGGGCACUCUGGAGAGACUGCCGUGGAUAACACGGAGGAAGGUGGGGAUGACGUCAAAUCAUCAUGCCCCUUAUGUCUUGGGCUACACACGUGCUACAAUGGCUGGUAACAAAGUGAUGCGAGACGGCGACGUUAAGCAAAUCACAAAAACCCAGUCCCAGUUCGGAUUGUAGUCUGCAACUCGACUACAUGAAGCUGGAAUCGCUAGUAAUCGCGAAUCAGCAUGUCGCGGUGAAUACGUUCCCGGGCCUUGUACACACCGCCCGUCACACCAUGGGAGUUGGAAGCACCCGAAGUCGAAGACCUAACCGUAAGGAAGGAGCCGCCGAAG